rnacentral:rRNA from 1 species
CCUACGGGUGGCAGCAGCAAGGAAUUUUCGGCAAUGGGCGCAAGCCUGACCGAGCAACGCCGCGUGCAGGAUGACGGCCUUCGGGUUGUAAACCGCUGUCAGGAGGGAAGAAGCGCAAGUGACGGUACCUCCAGAGGAAGCCCCGGCCAACUACGUGCCAGCAGCCGCGGUAAUACGUAGGGGGCAAGCGUUGUCCGGAAUUAUUGGGCGUAAAGAGCUCGUAGGCGGUCCUUUAAGUCGGAUGUGAAAUCUCGGGGCUCAACCCCGAAAUUGCACCCGAUACUGGAGGACUUGAGGCAGGUAGGGGAAGGUGGAAUUCCUGGUGUAGCGGUGAAAUGCGCAGAUAUCAGGAGGAACACCCGUGGCGAAGGCGGCCUUCUGGGCCUGUUCUGACGCUGAGGAGCGAAAGCGUGGGGAGCAAACAGGAUUAGAUACCCGGG